rnacentral:rRNA from 1 species
UCGGAUUGUAGUCUGCAACCCGACUACAUGAAGCUGGAAUCGCUAGUAAUCGCAAAUCAGAAUGUUGCGGUGAAUACGUCCCCGGGCCUUGUACACACCGCCCGUCACACCAUGGGAGUUGGAAGCGCCCGAAGUCGAUGACCCAACCGUAAGGAGGGAGUCGCCGAAGGUGAGGCCAGUGACUGGGGUGAAGUCGUAACAAGGUAAC